UGUUUGUUUGUUUCUGGAUGGUGUUUAGCACUAUAUUAUGAAGAUAAAGGGGGCUGGUUUUGUGAUAUAUCAAGAUAGAAUAACAUUUCCAUAUAUUUUCUACAUAUUCUAAUUUGAUCAUAACUACUUUUAUAACAUUAAAAAGGAGAAAAAUCUGGGAUUUAGUUUAUGGAGGUAAUUACUUUUCCCCUAAAAAGUAAAUUCUACCAUAACUGGUAACUUUUGCUUUAGCCUUCAGACUGAUGAAACAGCGUACAGUAAAACAUAUAGUCCUGACACUUAGAUGAAAAUAGACUGUACUGUCUUACUGUAACUCUGCUUGUAUGAAGUGCAGGGUGUUUUUUGUAGCUGUUAUUUUGAGCAGCUAUCACCAGGUAAGGUUUUUAAAAACCAACCCUUCUCUUUGAGGAGUCAAUUCCUUGAAGAUCAGGAAGUUACUUCUAGUUAUUUGACUUGGUACAUUUCAUCUUUUUCUAAAAAAAAAAAAAAGUU